rnacentral:rRNA from 1 species
UACGAAGGGGGCUAGCGUUGCUCGGAAUUACUGGGCGUAAAGGGCGCGUAGGCGGAUGUCUAAGUCAGAGGUAAAAGCCCAGGGCUUAACCUUGGAACUGCCUUUGAUACUGGGCAUCUUGAGUUCGGGAGAGGUGAGUGGAACUCCGAGUGUAGAGGUGAAAUUCGUAGAUAUUCGGAAGAACACCAGUGGCGAAGGCGACUCACUGGCCCGAUACUGACGCUGAGGCGCGAAAGCGUGGGGAGCAAACAGG